rnacentral:rRNA from 1 species
CUGCUCAGAUUGAACGCUGGCGGCAGGCCUAACACAUGCAAGUCGAGCGGCAGCACGGGUACUUGUACCUGGUGGCGAGCGGCGGACGGGUGAGUAAUGCCUAGGAAUCUGCCUGGUAGUGGGGGAUAACGCUCGGAAACGGACGCUAAUACCGCAUACGUCCUACGGGAGAAAGCAGGGGACCUUCGGGCCUUGCGCUAUCAGAUGAGCCUAGGUCGGAUUAGCUAGUUGGUGAGGUAAUGGCUCACCAAGGCGACGAUCCGUAACUGGUNUGAGAGGAUGAUCAGUCACACUGGAACUGAGACACGGUCCAGACUCCUACGGGAGGCAGCAGUGGGGAAUAUUGGACAAUGGGCGAAAGCCUGAUCCAGCCAUGCCGCGUGUGUGAAGAAGGUCUUCGGAUUGUAAAGCACUUUAAGUUGGGAGGAAGGGCAUUAACCUAAUACGUUAGUGUUUUGACGUUACCGACAGAAUAAGCACCGGCUAACUCUGUGCCAGCAGCCGCGGUAAUACAGAGGGUGCAAGCGUUAAUCGGAAUUACUGGGCGUAAAGCGCGCGUAGGUGGUUCGUUAAGUUGGAUGUGAAAUCCCCGGGCUCAACCUGGGAACUGCAUUCAAAACUGUCGAGCUAGAGUAUGGUAGAGGGUGGUGGAAUUUCCUGUGUAGCGGUGAAAUGCGUAGAUAUAGGAAGGAACACCAGUGGCGAAGGCGACCACCUGGACUGAUACUGACACUGAGGUGCGAAAGCGUGGGGAGCAAACAGGAUUAGAUACCCUGGUAGUCCACGCCGUAAACGAUGUNAAGNUAGCCGUUGGGAGCCUUGAGCUCUUAGUGGCGCAGCUAACGCAUUAAGUGACC